rnacentral:miRNA from 12 species
CCCCAGCUCUCACCUCCCACU